rnacentral:rRNA from 1 species
UACGGAGGAUGUAAGCGUUAUCCGGAUUUAUUGGGUUUAAAGGGUGCGCAGGUUGUUUGAUAAGUCAGUGGUGAAAGUCUGUCGCUUAACGGUAGGAUUGCCAUUGAUACUGUUGGGCUUGAAUAUGGAUGAGGUAGGCGGAAUGUGUAGUGUAGCGGUGAAAUGCAUAGAUAUUACACAGAACACCGAUUGCGAAGGCAGCUUACUAAUCCAUCAUUGACGCUGAGGCACGAAAGCGCGGGGAUCAAACAGGAUUA